UGGUAGUNCACGCCGUAAACGAUGAGUGCUAGGUGUUAGACCCUUUCCGGGGUUUAGUGCCGCAGCUAACGCAUUAAGCACUCCGCCUGGGGAGUACGACCGCAAGGUUGAAACUCAAAGGAAUUGACGGGGGCCCGCACAAGCGGUGGAGCAUGUGGUUUAAUUCGAAGCAACGCGAAGAACCUUACCAGGUCUUGACAUCCCUCUGACCGCUCUAGAGAUAGAGUUUUCCUUCGGGACAGAGGUGACAGGUGGUGCAUGGUUGUCGUCAGCUCGUGUCGUGAGAUGUUGGGUUAAGUNNNNNNNCGAGCGCAACCCCUAUUGUUAGUUGCCAUCAUUUAGUUGGGCACUCUAGCGAGACUGCCGGUAAUAAACCGGAGGAAGGUGGGGAUGACGUCAAAUCAUCAUGCCCCUUAUGACCUGGGCUACACUCGUGCUACAAUGGCUGGUACAACGAGUCGCAAGCCGGUGACGGCAAGCUAAUCUCUUAAAGCCAGUCUCAGUUCGGAUUGUAGGCUGCAACUCGC
rnacentral:rRNA from 1 species